rnacentral:rRNA from 1 species
GACGAACGCUGGCGGCGUGCCUAACACAUGCAAGUCGAGCGGUAAGGCCCCUUCGGGGGUACACGAGCGGCGAACGGGUGAGUAACACGUGGGUGACCUGCCCUCAGCUCUGGGAUAAGCCUGGGAAACUGGGUCUAAUACCGGAUAUGACUCCAUGACGCAUGUCGUGGGGUGGAAAGCCUUGUGCGGCUGGGGAUGGGCCCGCGGCCUAUCAGCUUGUUGGUGGGGUGAUGGCCUACCAAGGCGACGACGGGUAGCCGGCCUGAGAGGGCGACCGGCCACACUGGGACUGAGACACGGCCCAGACUCCUACGGGAGGCAGCAGUGGGGAAUCUUGCGCAAUGGGCGAAAGCCUGACGCAGCGACGCCGCGUGAGGGAGGAAAUCCUUCGGGAUGUAAACCUCACAAGCAAGGGAAGAGAGCUACGGGCUGAAUAAUCCCGUAGUGCGACGGUACCUUGCGUAAGCCACGGCUAACUACGU